GGAUAUCUAGAUUUUAAGUAGAUGAUGGACGUAAAAAUUACGAAAAGUUACGGGGAGUUAUGCUGUGAUCCGUAAAUUUCCUAUUGGUAAACCAUUUUAUAUGAAAAUAAUAUAAAAUAUUAAUCAACUUAGCAAACUGAAACAUCUAAGUAGCUAAAGGAAUAAAAAUCAACAGAGAUUUCAUUAGUAGUGGCGAGCGAAUAUGAAUUAAAAGAUUUAUAAAAUAUUAAUAAUUAAAAACUUUGAAAUAUUAAUGAAAUAAUAUUAAAGCUAAAAAGGGUGAAAGCCCCGUAAAAGUUUUUAUACUAUAUUUUUUGAAUUAGAAUGAGACACGUGUAAUCUUAUUUGAAUAGAGGGAGACCAUUCUCUAAAUCUUAAUAUUACUUAAAAAUCGAUAGUGUACAAGUACUGUGAAGGAAAGAUGAAAAGACCCCAUAGGGGUGAGUUCAAAGAACUUGAAACUCAAUAUUAACAAACAAUUGACGCUUUAUUACAAAGCUACAAUGUACCUUUUGUAUAAUGGGUCAGCGACUUAAUAAUUAUAGCAAGCUUAAAUAAAUAUAUAAAAGCGUAGUGAAAGCAAGUUUAAAGAAAACAAAUAUAGUUAUAAUUAUUAAACCCGAAACCAAGUGAUCUAGUUAUGAACAGGCUGAAAAUUACUGUAAAAAGUAUUGGAGGGCCGAACCCACGUAUGUAGAAAAAUACGGGGAUGAUUUGUAAUUAGGGGUGAAAGGCUAAUCAAACUUGGAUAUUGCUGGUUUUCCACGAAAUCUAUUUAGGUAGAGCAUCAUAUAAUUUGAUUUUGAGGUAGAGCACUCGAGGAAUAAGGGGGAUCUAUGAUCUUACUAAAUUCAAGGAAACUCCGAAUACAAAAUUUAUUAAUAUGAUAGACAGACCCUGGGUGCGAAGGUCCUGGGUCAAGAGGGAAACAGCCCUAAUUAAUUGCUAAGGUCUUUAAAUUUGUUCUAAGUGAGAAAGGACGUUUAAAAACAAUGACAGCUAAAAGGUAGGCUUAGAAGCAGCCAUCCUUUAAAGAAAGCGUAAUAGCUCAUUAGCCGAGUUUUUUUGCGCCAAAGAUGUAACGAGACUAAAGACAAAUACCGAAGCAUUAAACAUUUAAAAUGUGGUAGUGGAAUAUUCUGUAUUAUUAUUCAAAAUUAUAUUGUUAAAUAUAAUUAUAUAUCAGAAGAAAAAAUGCUGACAUGAGUAACGAUAAAUAAUGAUAAAAAAAACAUUAUCGCCAAAAAUCCAAGGUUUUCUAAGCAAGGAUAAUCCUCUUACGAGUAAAUCGAUCUCUAAAAAACUAGUGAAAACUUAUUUUGAUGAGUAAAU
rnacentral:rRNA from 17 species